rnacentral:lncRNA from 1 species
AUGGCUUUCUCUUAUAGGAAUACCUUAUUCACAGUUAUCUUGAUCUUGGUGACCAUUUUUAUUACUUGUCCACAAUCUGGAGUUGGUUGCAGACCAUUGUUAUUACAUAGUGAAUGGUCAAAUCAAUAUGGCCUUCUUUGGCAAUUGCUUGCAAACAACCCUGCUCCAGUUUCAGAUGGAGAUCACACUCAUCCAUAA